rnacentral:rRNA from 1 species
UACGGGGGGGGCAAGCGUUGUUCGGAAUUACUGGGCGUAAAGGGCUCGUAGGUUGCCAACUAAGUCAGACGUGAAAUCCCUCAGCUUAACUGGGGAACUGCGUCUGAUACUGGAUGGCUUGAGUUUGGGAGAGGGAUGCGGAAUUCCAGGUGUAGCGGUGAAAUGCGUAGAGAUCGUAAGGAAGACCAGUGGCGAAGGCGGGUCUCUGGACAGUUCCUGACACUGAGGCACGAAGGCCAGGGGAGCAAACGGG